CAGAGUUGCAAAACUCCCAACACCUAUGUGGACUAGCCUGCGAAUUGCUUCGGCGAGGUGGCUCCCUUGCGGACGCCAGCGCCCUAGAACGGUGCAGCCCGCCGGAGACAUAUAAACUCUUGCAUCUUUUGGCAUCUCUGAGUACUAUACAAAUAAGUUA
rnacentral:misc_RNA from 1 species